AGUAUAAAAGAACGCGGCUGAGAUAUUCCUGCAAUGGUUUUGGUUAGCGUGCACACUGAACGACAGUCUUCUAAGAGAAGUACGCUGCAAUUUUCGUGUCUUACAGAACACCACCAGGUUGACGGAACUUCAGAAACUACAGAAUCUAGGAUGGCCAUAGCAAUGGUACUGGUAGCGCAUCUCAUCAUUUGUGCCCUGUUUACAAUGAAUUGCCAGAUGCGCUUCUUACCUGAUGUUCUUGGUAAGCCAAGCCAGCCGCAGUGCACAUGUCAGCCCUGCAUGCGCACGAGCUCCGACCGAGGGGCCAGCCCGCGUGACGGAGGAAGAAAGCGAGUUGUUACUGUAGGCCACGGAGCCCAGCUGAAAACGUAACAGUUGAAGAACGAGUGGGUUUAGGGGAAUGUUGGAGACAUGAUUGCGACGGAUGGUUAUCGUGCCCAGGUCAUUGUAGCUGCCCGAACCUAGUGCUUCAGCUACUUGGAAAGCGCAGUUGUCGCUAGGAAGAACCCUGCUGGAAGUCUCACGAGCUGAAAAUAAACUAUUGUUUUCACGCAAA
rnacentral:misc_RNA from 1 species